rnacentral:rRNA from 1 species
UACGUAGGGAGCGAGCGUUGUCCGAAGUUACUGGGCGUAAAGCGCGCGUAGGCGGGCUGUUAAGUGAGAGGUGAAAGGCUGGGGCUCAACCCCAUGCAGUGCCUCUCAUACUGGCGGUCUUGAGUGCGGCAGGGAGAAGUGGAAUGGCUGGUGUAGCGGUGAAAUGCGUAGAUAUCAGUCGGAACAUCGGUGGCGAAGGCGGCCUUCUGGACGGUGACUGACGCUGAGAUGCGAAAGCGUGGGGGAGCAAACAGG